GAGGGCGGGCCCUACGCGGGCCAGGCGCGACAGUUCUGUAAGCCCAGGACUGCGGCGUACCGGAGGGACCAAGGCAGCCUGUGGCUCCCUCAUACUGCCAGCUUCGCAUCUAACAUCUGCAGGACUCGGGCUACCUGAGGGUGGAGAGGGUCACUGGCUCCCUGGGCGGAGGAUGCGGAAGGCCCUGAACUAGGAGGGGACCGGCCCUCCGCGCCCCACCCGAACCCGGAACUGGUGCGCCGGAAUGGGGCCCGGCCCCUUGAGAGCGAGCGGAACCUGGAGUGGGACGUCCGCGCUGCCGCCACUGUUGCUGAACACCUGCUAUCACGACCAAGAAAGCAGCCUUUAGGUACCCAAAGAUGACAGGUGGCUAAGCCAUGAGGAUCCCUGCCCGCACUUCCUGGCUACCAGACAGGGUAGUUGUGAGGAAGACGUGGGUAAAAAGAUUAGAAUAUUGGAUUCAAUAAAUGCUGGCCGUUUCGUUAUACUUUUCUACAUUAUCUGCAGAGGAUCAGCCUGAUUGCCUAAUGAGGCGCUUUCUCGCUUCAUACAGUGACUCAGAAAUCCCUCUUUGUUUUCAGGACUGAAGAUUGAACCUAGAGCCUCAUACAGGCUAGGCUAAUGCUCUUACACUGAACUGAAGCCCCAGCCCUAGAAAUUCGCUUUUCAAAAUGUUUUCUCGAGUUAUCUAGAAUGCAAGAAGCCUAGAAUGCAAAUCUUGGUCACAAUACCUACCUACCAGACUUGCUCACCCUCUGUUUAAAAACCAAAUCAGGUCGUGAGAGAGGGCAUCAGUAAACUUCAUCCCUGGCAGACUGUGCCCUAGACCUCUGAGCUUUAUAGACAUGUGAAAGCCUUCAGGGACAAGCCACCAGCAGAGAAAGCAUCCAGGCGCUCAUUGGCCAGGAGCUCUCCCACUAGGCUAGGCUGUCGGACCAGCAAGUUCCAGGGAUCCUGUUGUCUACCUCCCCAGCACUGGGGAGGGAUUACAGGUACACACCAUCAAGCCUGCUUUUUACAUAGGUUCUGGGGAUCAAAUUCAGUCCUUGUGUGUGUGAGGCAAGAACUUUAGAAGUCAGAUCUUCACUUUACAGACAACCCUACUUCCCCUGCUCUGAAAUCCUAACCUAGCCGGACAUGGUGGAGCAUGCCUGUAACCCCAGCACUCGAGAGGCUGAGGCAGGAAGAGAGCCUGGCCUGCACCCUAUACCCUCAUCCGGUUCAUACUGUGAUAUUGUUCCACCUGCCACUCCUGAUUGUUGUCACGAACUGACCUUCACACACACACACACACACACACACACACACACACACACCAUGCUUUCAUGAUUUCAGCAUCUAUAAAUAAACACGGCUCAUUAUCAAUAUCACUUCUUCCUUAUUGAUUUCCUCUCUACCCACGAGUUUCCUUCCUCUCUUCCCAGACGCCCACACCCGUGCUUUUAUGGGCUUGUCCAACUCAGCGAGAUCUCGAAGAUCUCAAGCCUGACCUUAACCUCCUCAUGACUGCAUUAACACAUGAGUAUCCCUCUAGCUUCACGGAGACCUGCAUAGAUUCUCACAUUUACAACACAGGCGUGCGUGCACACAUGAUAAAAUAUGUGUGUGAGUGUGUGCACACACCCUUAGUAACAGUGGUCAUACUUCCUUGCAAAAAUCCAUUAAACCCUUGCUCCCUCUCUUUUCAACUAACCAACCCCGGUGAAGCUCAGUUAUCCCCCCACACUAUCAGAACAUUUGAACAUUAAGAAUUCACAGUGACUGCCACCGUUUUUACUUGACGUCUACAGACCUGGCGAGCCUGGCCGUCCUAGCACACCUCCUCACUCUCUAAGACGGGGUUUCUCCAGCUUCCCCUCUUGCCCCCCUCUCAGAUUUUACCCUAAGCCGAAGACCUUGCUCCACACUCCACAGAUACGAGGGAAUCAGCCCCACGGGAGCCCCUUCAUUUCCCAAGUCCCCGUCUUUGUCUUUUCUGUCUUUCCUGGUUUAAAAAUGAAGGGGCCAGCCGGGGGUGGUGGCACACACCCAAUCCCAGCACUCUGGAGGCAGGGGCAGGCAGAUCUCUGUGAGUUUGAGGCCAGCCUGGUCUACAGAGCGAGUUCCAGGACAGCCAGGGCUGCACAGAGAAACCCUGUCUCGAAAAAUCAAACAAAUAAAAUAAACUGAAGGGCUGCGUCCCUGCUGGAACCCACCCUCCCGGCACACAGAACCUUCCUGGUCUUCAGUUUCUCCCUCUAUACAAGGAGCUUUAUCCCUCUAUACUUCCUCAUUCUGUCAGCCUCAUAAAACGUGUCUCGAUAAUGCCAGCAACCAGAGCCUGCUUGGUCCCCCAUCUGUUAGCCACCUCCCCCAUAUUUGUGUUCCUGUUCAUAUAAAAACUUGUGAGUUCCUGGGGGCUGGGGACAUGGCUCAGUGGGCAAAGUGCUUGGCACACAAGCAGAAGGACCAGAGUCAGAUCCCCAGCAGUCAUGGAAAAGCUGGGCAUGAUGGCACACAUCUAUAACCCCAACGCUACGGACGAGACAAGAAGAUGCGGGGACUCAUUGGUCAGCCGGUACAGUAGCCAAGAUGGCGAGCUUCAAGUCCCCUGAAAGAUUCUGUCUUAAAAUUAAAUGAGAGGCUAGAAAGAUGGCUCGGUGACUAAGAGCACUUGUUGCUCUUGUAGAGGACCUAGGUUUGAUUCCCAUCACCCUCAUGGCGGCUCACAAGCACCUGUAACUCCAAUUCAGCAGAUUCAGCACCCUCUUCUGACCUCCGCAGGACGAAGUACACAAGUGUCACAUACAUAUAUGCGGGCAAAACACCCAUACACAAGAUAAGUAAGUCUAAUGAAGCACAGAAGCUAUUGAGAAAUAAAUGCAUCCAACCACCACCUGUGCCUGCACGGGCAAGUGCAUGCAUGUACACUCAUGCAUACACCACACAUGCGCGCGCGCGCACACACACACACACACGCACGCGCACACACACACACACACACACACUUCUGCCAGAGAUAAUUCUGCACUGAGUCUAGAUUCCCCUCAGGGGUUCGGGUUUUGCCUCGCCCCGAUCACCCCACAGUUUCACACCUCUCAAGCUGACUUGGAAAUUUCAUCAAGCAAAAGUCAGUGCCUCACUCCUGACUUCUGGUGUCUGCUGCAACCUCCCCUGACAUGACCUCACUUCCGACUAAACUUCCUCUUCGGAUGCAUGGUUCUGGGACCCCCAUCUUUUCUGUGUGUGAGUCAGUCACAACAUCAUUAACACACAGAACAUGGUAGGUGCUCAGUGAAGGUCCAUGAACAUAAGAGCAUCAACGUAAGAUGAGUAUAAGUCAGCAUUCUGGGGUGAGCAAUGAAGCUUCGGCUGCUGCUGCUGCUUGUUUGUUUAAUUUUAUAUUUAUUGAUUGAUUGAUUGAUUGGCUUUUUUCGAGACAGGGUUUUUCUGCGUAGCUUUGGAGCCUGUCCUGGAACUCACUUUGUCUGUAGACCAGGCUGGCCUCAAACUCACAGAGAUCCACCUGCCUCUGCCUCCCGAGUGCUGGGAUUAAAGGCGUGCGCCACCACUGCCUGGCUUUAUUUAUUUUUAUUUUAUGUGCAUUGGUGUUUUGCCAUGGGUGUCAGGUCCCCCAGAACUGGAGUUACAGACAGUUGUGAGCUGCCAUGUGGGGCCUCUGCAAGAGCAGUCAGUGGUCUUAACCACUGAGCCAUCUCUCCAGUCCUCGGCUGCUUGUUUUUUAUGGGUACUUACUAAGUACAUUUGUUGUUGUUUUGAGACAAUCUCUUACUAUGUGCAUUUGCUGUUGUUUUGAGACAAUCUCACCAUGUAGCCUUAGAAUUCCUUAGGUAGACACUCCCAAGAUCACCUUGCUUCCUGAAUGCUGGGAAUAAAGGUAUGCACCACCAUUCCUGGGACCCUGCAUUCUUAUAACCUCAACUCCUUCUAGUAAAUCUUUGGUACUAGCAGCUUCAGUCUUGACUGGGUUUUUUUUGUUUGUUUGUUUGUUUUUGUUUCUGUUUUUGAGAUAGGGUCUAUUUAUUUAUUGAUGCUAGGGAUCAAACCCAGGAUUUCAUAGGCUGGCUUCAAACUCAUUGUGUAGCUGAGGAUGACCUUGAACUCCUGAUCCUCCUGCCCACCAUCUCUAGAGUUAGAAUUACCAGUGUGUACUACCACCCCUGGUUUAUCUAGUGUGUUAGGGGAAGGGAGAUGGAACCCAGGGUUCGUGCAGGCUGGUCAAAUACUCUCCUCACUCAUUCCUCUAUCCCUCAUCAUCGCAGAAGAAACUGGGGUGAAAAUGGACAAGCCACUCUAACUUCGCUCUUUCUUCACCUGUCUGCAGAACCACCCGACAGAUUGUAAGUAGCCUCAGAAGACAAGGGUACACCAUCCUCCCUCGUCACGACCCUUUACACACAGCAGUUGCCCAUGAGCAUCUCUUGAGUUGAGGCAGGAUGGCAGUGUAGCCGAAAGUUUUCUCCCGUCCCACCCGGCCCACAGUCCCGCAGCCACUUAUAAAAAAAAAAAAAAAUCAUUCAGAGGCUUAUAUUAAUUAACUUAACCCAUUUCUAUUCAUCUGUAAGUUGCCACGUGGCCGUGGCAUUACUGAUCUGCUGGCAUCUUGCUCCUUGGACAGCAGGCUGGCCUCUCUCCUGACUCCGCCUUUCUGUUUCCUGUCUCUCUUCUUGGAUUUCCCCGCCUGCUUCUAAGCUGCCUUGCCAUAGGCCAAAGCAGGUUAUUUAUUAUCACACAUGGAAGGGAACUUUGUGGGAGCAAGGAGCACGUGGAAUUGCAUGGUCAUUGACUAAUACCAGACCCAUCUGAGUAUCCAGUACUCAACAUAGACUGAUUAGCUUUCUUUCCUUCAUCAGUCAAGUCCUACAGCUGAGAUUUCUGGGUUAAUAAAUGCAGUUAUCCCAGAAACUGGGGGUCACUUAGAUCCUAAACCACCUCCCACUCACAGGCCUGGCCCUGCUUUCUGAGGUCACAAGAUGGGGUGGUGUCAAUGUGAAAGUGGCCUGUCUGUCACCGGCUACUGUGCCCAAACACCUGUUCCCCAGUUAGUGGUGCCCUUUUGGUGAAGUUGUGGGGCCUGGCUGGUGGAGGUGUGCCACUGAGGGCAGAACCUACCUCUAGUGCACUGUCUCAGCUCUCACUGCCGUGCCUUCUCCGUGAAGGAUUGCACCCCCAAAUCCUUCUUCCCUUAAUUGCUCUGUCAGGUAUUUGGUCAUGGAGAAAAGUGUUUAAUUCGUGUUCUUCUCGGGUUACUAAAGUAGUUCAGAUGUGUGUUCAUAUGUAUGUACUUCUGUAGUGCUAGGGACCAUACCCAGGGUUUCAUGGAUGCUCAGAAAGUAUUGAUUCACCCACCCCCUAGUCCUUGCUUUUCUUUUGUUUUAAGAUAGGUAGAGUCCAACCUAGCCUCAAGCUCACGAUCCUCCUGCCUCAGCUUGCCAAGACCUUGGGUGGCCCUUUGGUGUGGGGAGGGGCAGGGUCUAACUAUGUAACCCCAACUGGUCUGGAACUCAAUAUACAGAUCAUGCUGGACUCAAACUCACAGAAAUCCACUUGCCUCUGCCUCCUUAGUGCUAAUGAAAGGUGUGUGUCACCACACAUAGCCACCAUUUUUAAUUUUUUUUAUUUUAGAUUAUUUUAUUUUUAUGUGUAUGACAGUUCUUCCUGUGUGUAUGGGUGUGUACCACAUGUGCACCUGGUGUCCCCUGAGUUCAGAAGAAGUUAUCAGAUGCGCUGGAACUGGAGCCAUGAAUGGUUAUGAGCCACCGUGUGGGUGCUGGGAAUUGAACUCAGAUCCUCUGGAAGAGUACCAAGGACUUCAUUGCUGAGCCAACUCUGCAGUCCCAGAAUUUUUUUUUUUUUUAAGAAGCAUAUACCAGAGAGUAAAAGAGCCUUUUGAGUCUUAGAAACUUCCAGUUAUUGGGACAUAAAGUAGAACUGAAUGUCGGGGGAGGGGAGAAUACGCUGAUUUCUUUUGAAGACAGAAAAGUGUGGUUUGUAGUAAAAGAGGCAGCCUUGACUUGAGAGCUUAGGUCGACCCUCCCACCAUUCAGCAUCUUGACAGGACAUGUAGCAAUGAAGGGGAGGAGGCCAGAGCAUUGGCAACCACUGGUUUAAUACAGCCCAAGGCUGUGGUGCCAAGAGGAUUCUUUACUCUGAGGUUUAGCACAAUCAUCUUGGGGUUUUUGUUUUGAUUUUUUAAUAGGUACCUGGGAGAACUCCCAGCUGCCUUCUGCUGGACCAGAAGUGUUUGUAUCCUGUCCAUCUGGGGGGUCCUGAUCGGAGAUGUAGAAAGGCCUCUCACAUGUGGGCCAGCUGUUGGAGUUUUUAUAUGCACAUCUGCAGAGAAUUCACAUUUGGUGAAUUAAGUUGGCCAGCCAGCCAGCCACUAGGGUUGGGCUGGACUAUACAAAAUAUACCCCAGGCUGAUUCUCACUUUGGGUUUGGGAUAAGUAGCCCCUGUCUUUCCAGGUGGUAUUCUCCAACACAUCCUCAACAGCUGGGCUUGGAGCUGCGGUUGUGUGUUUCCAUGGAAACCAUGCACUUUGUACACCUUAUCUCUUACUCUCCCCUUAUCUUUUGUCCCUGCUGCUCCAUGGGCUCCUUAGGGUGGGACUAUGAGUCACUCCCUAACAUUAUCGUAGUUCCUGAGAUACAAUCCAGGGCCACAAAUGGAACCUGCCAAAUGGUGACCCAGGAAGAAACUCCAGUCAUCCAGGAUGUAAACGGUGGUCAGCUCCACCCAAUCCCAUCCCUCCUGCAGAACAAGACAUCACAGUGGACCUAAUGAGACUCAGCCAGAUGCAAAACUUGCCCUGGAGCUUAUGAAGUAACCGAACUGAGAGCAUAACCUGGUGAAAGGCUGGAGUACAUGAUGAGAGCACCUGUGGUCUCAGCUACAGGAGGCUGAGGCUGGAGGAUCACUGAAGUGCUGGAGUUCAAGGCUAGCCUGGGCAACAUAGAGUCUAUCUCUUAAGACAAAACACUAAAAAUAACAACAAAAAAAUCCAAGCAAUGAAAACUUAAAAACAAAAAAAAUUAGAUAUCACUUAUAAUAAUAAUAUUAGAAAAUAUAUGAACCAGGCAUGGUGACAUAUGCCUUUAAUCCGAGUACUCAGGAGGCAGAGGCAGGGAGAUCUCCUUAACUUCAAGCCUGCCUAGUCUACACAGCAAAUUCUAGGCCAGCCAGAACUACAUAAUGAGACCCAAUCUCAAAACAAAACAAAAC